ACUUACCAGAAAAAAGUAACGUAACGUUUGUUCUAAUAAUAGAGUAUCGACACAGCGUGUCUCGCAAUCUUCAGACGCUAUUGUAGUGGUUAUCUGUGACAGGCCGUCAGGAGAACAUAUUUUCCUGAUUAUGACAAGUCCAUCUUCCAGUUGCUAAAGUUAGGAAAUAUUGGCUCUUUUAUUUUUUCUUGUGUUAGAUAAUCAUUACCCGACUUCAAAAUAAGGAGAACGUUCCUAAUUUAAUCAACUUUUACGUUAUUUUUGAGUGAACAUUCCUAUUAUCUUCACCAAAAUAACUUUGAUUUCGAGUGAUUUUUGAUUUUGUAAUGGCACACUAAUUGUAACAAUCAACAAGCUCUUUAUAGACCUACCAGCAAAUGAAUAGGUAGUUGAGCGUUUUAUCUACUUUUUGCAUUGCAUUGCAGCAAAUAUUCUUCUCAACCCAAUUGUCUAUUGUCAUGAAAUUAUAAAAAACUGUAUUGAAUUUCCCAAGCUAUCAAAUUAUACUCUAUUAAAUACACUAGAAAAAUGCACAACUUAGCCAAUGUUUACGCAAACUCAAUGUCACGCGAACCGGUUGUUGAUCAUUAAUAAACCGGCGCGGGCGCAGGCCAUACUACCAAGAAGGAAAAUUUACAUUCUGUACAACUCUUUGUCCUAAGGAGACGUGUUUCUGAACCUAAAUGUGCUUUAGGAAGUGAAUAUAAUUAUCUAAAGUACACACAAUGUUUACCAGACCUUUAAUAGUUGGUAAAUAAAGUCUUAACUAACUGUGACGAUAAAUAAAAAUAUUUCUUAAUAGAAAUCGUGUGCAUCGUGUUUAAAUAUUAGUGUAUUUUUAAAAUGUGGCGUAGUUAAACCCACGCCCCGCAAGCAGCAGCAGUGCACGACAGUGCUGCAACUUCGGCCAACGCGCUGCAGCGAUGACCUCUAGCCACCUUGCACUCUAGAGCAGUCGCCGUGACGUCACGAUGCUGGAGCACGUCGUGUUCGCCCCCACCUGGCUGCUGAUGAUGUGGUUGGGAGCUUGCAUACUGUUCAGCCCUUUUGCAAUAUUUUUUGUCAUCUGCCUGCCCCAGCUACCGCUGUUGGUGGUGAGACGCGCUUGUCACAUUCCUUUUGAGUACAUCUGACGAACGUUCUAGAGUCUGUUUGGAAGGUUCGAGAAUAAUGUGGCUAUUUAUGUCGCUGGUGGAUAAGUUAAGUAGGGUUAAGUAAUGUGAUUGUGAUGUUUUCCGUCUUUAAUGGUUAAGUUAUUUGUGUCUGAUUUCAUGUUAGGUGAUUGAUAGUCAUUGUUAAUUGUAUACAUUAGAACGUGUAACGUAGAACUUCAUAGAUCAAAGCCAUUUAAAUAAGGAUAUUUUUUGUGUGUUUUAGAGGCAUUCGUGAAACGCUCUCAAAUAUAUUUCCAAAGUUAUUCAUAGAGACCUGCAACAAUAGGGAGCUAGCACUAAACAAUAGUUACAAAAUAAAAUGAUUGUGCCUUUCAAGCAGACUCUAAUAAGUGGUACCUACAUGUAGGUAUUACAAUUAUUAUAAUUUCGAUGAGUAGAAAGUGCCCGCUAACAAUGUAAUAGAAUAGAAAUUUCAGAUUCAAUGUAAAUAUUAUGUAAGUACCUACCGACUUAGGUGUAAUCAAAAAAAGCAAAUAAAAUAACUCAAUAUGUUAUUAAACUGAA